GUAGGCAGUAGCAGUGCAAGUAUGGCGGUAUGGUCCGGUGUACCAUUAAGAGUUUGGCAGCUGGUACGCCAUACUGCCCGUCCACUUUUCAGCCAUUAGUUCAGAACUGCACCGCCGAGCAAGACCAUGAUCUUACACUGCGGCGUGACAGCUCCUCCAUCUUAACCAGGAUUGCUGGGAACUCAGUGUCGGUUGGAGCGAGAAUCAGCUGCGUGCGCUGCAGCUGUUGGUCUCCGUUCUCCCAGCAGCUGCUCCCCUCGGAAUAUGCUCAAGAACAGCAGACCUACCUCAGCAGCCAUGGCGGACUCUACACCAAAAGGAAAAGGCUGCCAGAGGAGCCGGCAGGAGACCUAAAAAGAAAAAUAUAGAAAUCCUGAGGUGGAGGAAUGGGAUCCGGUCAGGAUACCGGCUGUUGAAAGACCGACGCCGGAAUGCUGACACUGAUCAGAAUGCCAGCGCCGACAUCCCAAACAGGAUCACAAUGCCAGUGUCGGCAUCCUGACAGCCAGGAUCCCAAUCGAGUGACUGCCGGAAUGUCGGAGAGAAUAAAUCUAAACACAAUGAAUGGUUGCGUUCCACUGAGAAUACGGAUAAUACGGAUAAGGAAGAGUUUAACUUCCUGUUUGCGUGUCACCGAGAUGGCGGAAAUGACAAAAUUACGACUUCCGGCGGACGUCAUCAUGCUUCAUACUAGGAUGCGAUCCGCUGUAGAGAGCCGCUAUGGGACUAAGAGACUUUCGUCUGUUGAAAUAAGAACUUCCGCUUUGUGUGGAACGCAAGCGGUGGCCGAGACAACCGCUUUGGCGCCACCGGACAUCCAAUAGUCUGUGCCGGAGACCGAGACGAACUUUGGGAUAAAAUAUAUGAUUGGUCACAUUUGGUUUGGAAAUGAGAAAAUGAAAAUCGAGAAUGGAUCUGGAUGUGGAUUGGAUAUAAAAUAAUUGGAAAAAAUACGGGAUCCGGGCCAUGUAUUACUAUGUUUCAAUUAUUAGUAAUGUUUGAAAUAUAUGUAUUAAUAAGAGGUUUUAAUAUUGUUGAAUACAUGGGAGUUAUAGAUAUAUGUAUUUAGAGUAUGAUAAGUCGAACAGAAUGUAAUAUUCUGGGUUUGCAGGAUUCUUUUAAUGAUGAAUACUGAUGUCAUGCAGCGAUUGGCUGCAGAUCACAUGGUUAGGCUCAGUUGGUAUAAAUAUUUGUAUUGGGCUUACACACUUCAUACCCUGAGGAAGGAAACAUUUCCGAAACGCGUUGGUGUUUGGAGGUACAGGGAUCCCCACUAUCACGUAUAUAAGGAGUAAGAUCUUUUUCUCAAACCUACCCAUUUUUCAAAUUUUUCCCGGGACUAAUUUGGCUGCUGGUUAAUGUUUGGAGUCCUUGUGGAGUGAAGUGGUGUAACCCCUGUUUAUGUAUUUUAUCUUUUUGUAAUAAAACGCUUUUUAUGGAGA